rnacentral:sRNA from 1 species
AUAAAAACACAAAAAAAGAA